UACGUAGGGUGCAAGCGUUGUCCGGAAUUAUUGGGCGUAAAGAGCUCGUAGGCGGUUUGUCGCGUCGGCUGUGAAAACUCGGGGCUCAACCCCGAGCCUGCAGUCGAUACGGGCAAACUAGAGUGUGGUAGGGGAGACUGGAAUUCCUGGUGUAGCGGUGAAAUGCGCAGAUAUCAGGAGGAACACCGGUGGCGAAGGCGGGUCUCUGGGCCGAUACUGACGCUGAGGAGCGAAAGCGUGGGGAGCGAACAGG
rnacentral:rRNA from 1 species